rnacentral:rRNA from 1 species
UACGUAGGGGGCAAGCGUUAUCCGGAUUUACUGGGUGUAAAGGGAGCGUAGGUGGCUCGAUAAGUCAGAAGUGAAAGCCCAAGGCUCAACCUUGGGACUGCUUUUGAAACUAUCGAGCUAGAGUGCAGGAGAGGUAAGUGGAAUUCCUAGUGUAGCGGUGAAAUGCGUAGAUAUUAGGAGGAACACCAGUGGCGAAGGCGACUUACUGGACUGUAACUGACACUGAGGCUCGAAAGCGUGGGGAGCAAACAGG